rnacentral:sRNA from 1 species
UCAGAGAGAUUGAGCAGAGUGUAUUCAAAACUGUAUAAGGAGGCUGAAAAGAUAAAAAAAUGGAAAGUAAGUACAGAAGCUGAACUGAGACAGAAAGAAAGUAAGUUGCAAGAAAACAGAAAGAUAAUUGAAGCACAGCGAAAAGCCAUUCAGGAACUGCAAUUUGGUAAUGAAAAAGUAAGUUUGAAAUUAGAAGAAGGAAUUCAAGAAAAUAAAGAUUUAAUAAAAGAGAAUAAUGCCACAAGGCAUUUAUGUAAUCUACUCAAAGAAACCUGUGCUAGAUCUGCAGAAAAGACAAAGAAAUAUGAAUAUGAACGGGAAGAAACCAGGCAAGUUUAUAUGGAUCUAAAUAAUAACAUUGAGAAAAUGAUAACAGCUUUUGAGGAACUUCGUGUGCAAGCUGAGAAUUCCAGACUGGAAAUGCAUUUUAAGUUAAAGGAAGAUUAUGAAAAAAUCCAACACCUUGAACAAGAAUACAAGAAGGAAAUAAAUGACAAGGAAAAGCAGGUUUUUUAAAAAACCAACUCUUUGUAUUCUUUAUAUUUGCUAAUUCAUUAAAAACUUAAAAUUUCAAAAGAA